GUGGGGAAUUUUGGACAAUGGGGGAAACCCUGAUCCAGCGACGCCGAGUGAAGGAUGAAGGCCUUCGGGUUGUAAACUUCUUUUGGAGGGGACGAAUAAAUUGACGGUACCCUCAGAAAAAGCCACGGCUAACUACGUGCCAGCAGCCGCGGUAAUACGUAGGUGGCGAGCGUUACUCGGAAUUACUAGGCGUAAAGCGUAUGUAGGCGGUUGUAUAAGUCUAUGGUGAAAUUUCCUGGCUCAACUGGGAAGGGACAUAGAUACUGUAUGGCUUGAGUGUUGGAGGGGGAGACGGAAUUCCUGGUGUUGCGGUGAAAUGCGUAGAUAUCAGGAGGAACACCGAUGGCGAAAGCAGUCUCCUGGCCAAAUACUGACGCUGAGGUACGAAAGCUAGGGUAGCAAACAGGAUUAGAUACCCCUGUAGUCC
rnacentral:rRNA from 1 species